rnacentral:rRNA from 1 species
AGCGUACACGGUGGAUGCCCUGGCAGUCAGAGGCGAUGAAGGACGUGCUAAUCUGCGAUAAGCGUCGGUAAGGUGAUAUGAACCGUUAUAACCGGCGAUUUCCGAAUGGGGAAACCCAGUGUGUUUCGACACACUAUCAUUAACUGAAUCCAUAGGUUAAUGAGGCGAACCGGGGGAACUGAAACAUCUAAGUACCCCGAGGAAAAGAAAUCAACCGAGAUUCCCCCAGUAGCGGCGAGCGAACGGGGAGCAGCCCAGAGCCUGAAUCAGUGUGUGUGUUAGUGGAAGCGUCUGGAAAGGCGCGCGAUACAGGGUGACAGCCCCGUACACAAAAAUGCACAUGCUGUGAGCUCGAUGAGUAGGGCGGGACACGUGGUAUCCUGUCUGAAUAUGGGGGGACCAUCCUCCAAGGCUAAAUACUCCUGACUGACCGAUAGUGAACCAGUACCGUGAGGGAAAGGCGAAAAGAACCCCGGCGAGGGGAGUGAAAAAGAACCUGAAACCGUGUACGUACAAGCAGUGGGAGCACGCUUCGGCGUGUGACUGCGUACCUUUUGUAUAAUGGGUCAGCGACUUAUAUUCUGUAGCAAGGUUAACCGAAUAGGGGAGCCGAAGGGAAACCGAGUCUUAACUGGGCGUUAAGUUGCAGGGUAUAGACCCGAAACCCGGUGAUCUAGCCAUGGGCAGGUUGAAGGUUGGGUAACACUAACUGGAGGACCGAACCGACUAAUGUUGAAAAAUUAGCGGAUGACUUGUGGCUGGGGGUGAAAGGCCAAUCAAACCGGGAGAUAGCUGGUUCUCCCCGAAAGCUAUUUAGGUAGCGCCUCGUGAAUUCAUCUCCGGGGGUAGAGCACUGUUUCGGCAAGGGGGUCAUCCCGACUUACCAACCCGAUGCAAACUGCGAAUACCGGAGAAUGUUAUCACGGGAGACACACGGCGGGUGCUAACGUCCGUCGUGAAGAGGGAAACAACCCAGACCGCCAGCUAAGGUCCCAAAGUCAUGGUUAAGUGGGAAACGAUGUGGGAAGGCCCAGACAGCCAGGAUGUUGGCUUAGAAGCAGCCAUCAUUUAAAGAAAGCGUAAUAGCUCACUGGUCGAGUCGGCCUGCGCGGAAGAUGUAACGGGGCUAAACCAUGCACCGAAGCUGCGGCAGCGACGCUGAUGCGUUGUUGGGUAGGGGAGCGUUCUGUAAGCCUGCGAAGGUGUGCUGUGAGGCAUGCUGGAGGUAUCAGAAGUGCGAAUGCUGACAUAAGUAACGAUAAAGCGGGUGAAAAGCCCGCUCGCCGGAAGACCAAGGGUUCCUGUCCAACGUUAAUCGGGGCAGGGUGAGUCGACCCCUAAGGCGAGGCCGAAAGGCGUAGUCGAUGGGAAACAGGUUAAUAUUCCUGUACUUGGUGUUACUGCGAAGGGGGGACGGAGAAGGCUAUGUUGGCCGGGCGACGGUUGUCCCGGUUUAAGCGUGUAGGCUGGUUUUCCAGGCAAAUCCGGAAAAUCAAGGCUGAGGCGUGAUGACGAGGCACUACGGUGCUGAAGCAACAAAUGCCCUGCUUCCAGGAAAAGCCUCUAAGCAUCAGGUAACAUCAAAUCGUACCCCAAACCGACACAGGUGGUCAGGUAGAGAAUACCAAGGCGCUUGAGAGAACUCGGGUGAAGGAACUAGGCAAAAUGGUGCCGUAACUUCGGGAGAAGGCACGCUGAUAUGUAGGUGAGGUCCCUCGCGGAUGGAGCUGAAAUCAGUCGAAGAUACCAGCUGGCUGCAACUGUUUAUUAAAAACACAGCACUGUGCAAACACGAAAGUGGACGUAUACGGUGUGACGCCUGCCCGGUGCCGGAAGGUUAAUUGAUGGGGUUAGCGGUAACGCGAAGCUCUUGAUCGAAGCCCCGGUAAACGGCGGCCGUAACUAUAACGGUCCUAAGGUAGCGAAAUUCCUUGUCGGGUAAGUUCCGACCUGCACGAAUGGCGUAAUGAUGGCCAGGCUGUCUCCACCCGAGACUCAGUGAAAUUGAACUCGCUGUGAAGAUGCAGUGUACCCGCGGCAAGACGGAAAGACCCCGUGAACCUUUACUAUAGCUUGACACUGAACAUUGAGCCUUGAUGUGUAGGAUAGGUGGGAGGCUUAGAAGUGUGGACGCCAGUCUGCAUGGAGCCGACCUUGAAAUACCACCCUUUAAUGUUUGAUGUUCUAACGUUGACCCGUAAUCCGGGUUGCGGACAGUGUCUGGUGGGUAGUUUGACUGGGGCGGUCUCCUCCUAAAGAGUAACGGAGGAGCACGAAGGUUGGCUAAUCCUGGUCGGACAUCAGGAGGUUAGUGCAAUGGCAUAAGCCAGCUUGACUGCGAGCGUGACGGCGCGAGCAGGUGCGAAAGCAGGUCAUAGUGAUCCGGUGGUUCUGAAUGGAAGGGCCAUCGCUCAACGGAUAAAAGGUACUCCGGGGAUAACAGGCUGAUACCGCCCAAGAGUUCAUAUCGACGGCGGUGUUUGGCACCUCGAUGUCGGCUCAUCACAUCCUGGGGCUGAAGUAGGUCCCAAGGGUAUGGCUGUUCGCCAUUUAAAGUGGUACGCGAGCUGGGUUUAGAACGUCGUGAGACAGUUCGGUCCCUAUCUGCCGUGGGCGCUGGAGAACUGAGGGGGGCUGCUCCUAGUACGAGAGGACCGGAGUGGACGCAUCACUGGUGUUCGGGUUGUCAUGCCAAUGGCACUGCCCGGUAGCUAAAUGCGGAAGAGAUAAGUGCUGAAAGCAUCUAAGCACGAAACUUGCCCCGAGAUGAGUUCUCCCUGACUCCUUGA